UACGUAGGGGGCGAGCGUUGUCCGGAUUCAUUGGGCGUAAAGAGCUCGUAGGCGGCUUGGUAAGUCGGGUGUGAAACCUCCAGGCUCAACCUGGAGACGCCACUCGAUACUGCCAUGGCUAGAGUCCGGUAGGGGCCCACGGAAUUCCUGGUGUAGCGGUGAAAUGCGCAGAUAUCAGGAGGAACACCGAUGGCGAAGGCGGUGGGCUGGGCCGGAACUGACGCUGAGGAGCGAAAGCGUGGGGAGCGAACAGG
rnacentral:rRNA from 1 species